GGUGGGGGUGCGAAAGGGAAGGCAGGUUGUCCGGCAGCAGCGGUCGCGGCAUGGGAAGGGCUGGUAAGCGCAGGGGAGUGAAGUUGCUGCUGUUGCUCUGUCUCCCUCCGGCUGCGGCUGGCCUUGCCUGUCCAACGUGGUUAACUCAGGCUAUUGCCCCGGAACCUCGCGACGUGCCUGUUAUUAAGUGCCCAAGUUGUGGAUGAAGCCUGCGAAGCGCGCCCAAAGUUCAGUGUUGUUCACAAUUCAGGAAUGUUCCAGGAAGAUGAAGGUGUAAAUACCGACAAAAGAAGGCAGCAUGUAAACACUAAAGGAAAGGUUAUGCAGAACAGAAGAUUUAUGAGUACAGAAUAUGUCGAACAAGGAGAAAUGAUUGCAUUCCAUCCAUGUCUGAGAUGUUAAGAUGAUAGAAAAACAGAAGACCAGAUUGCAAGUCUGCCUGAAGAGCAGAUUAUUUUGGGAAUUCUGUUCUAACAUAGUAAUUGGUAGUUUGGGGGCCCUGCCUAGAAUGCUGAACAUUUAACAAGAUGAGUUUCUUCCAUAUAUCUCUAUGCUUCCACUGAUAUUUAUAAAGUAUGAUCAGUUCUGCAAAGGGAAGGAGCCUGGAUUCUUUAGUGGAGCAGUGCUGCUACCAUUCCUUCUUUUCUUAGGCUUCUGAAUAGCCAGCAUGAGUGUGAGGUGCUAAAAUCAGAAAAUGCCACUUUGCGAGUGAAACUUCUCCAUGGAUGGCAUCAGUACUGUUGGGGAGGGGGGAAAGGAAGGCAAUUAACUUGUUUAAAGACUUCCAUUAAAAACAAAAAAGCUUAGCUGGAGAAAGAGACUGUUGGAAACAGUAGUUAUACUGCAGCAACAUAUUGCAUGCCCACAUUGAAGUUCAUAUUGAAUUGGGAAUGGCACAUUCAGCUUCACAGUCUACUCUGAGGUCUGGUCACAUAGUCAAAAGACAUAUUAACAAUACAAGAAGCUACCAACUAAAAGCACUGGAGACAAGAGUAGGAAGAAUUUUCUCCCUUUCAGCAACCAGAUUACCAAUUUUUAAACUGGCAAACUGCCACCCUCCAGCAUGCAUAUAUGUGCUCUUGCUCUCCUAUUCACAUGCACUCUCUCUCUUUCACUCGCACACACACAGUUCUCUUCUUUCCCUGCAUCAAGCUCAGCAGCAUGGCCUGUAUAACACUGAAGAAAAAUUGCUGUUGUGAAUGGGAAUGGAAAGAUAAGCUCACUGCUGCUUUAUGUUUCUCUCCUCCCUGCCACCACAGAACUCCAUCAGCUGGGAGUCCACAAUCAGCUGAUGCCCACUGCAGAUUGAGGCCAAAUAAAUAGGUGUGGGGCACUGGGAUGGAUCAAGUGAAAAGGGGUAGAGACCUAGGCUUCCUAUCUUUAAUUUAUAGCAGAUAACUUAGCAUCUUAAGCCACACCCCUUACCAAAACCUGAAUUUGCAGAGCAUGUUCCCUCCAAAUGGCAUUUUGUCUUUUAUCAAAGUAGAGGCUACUAUGGAUAAGCCAUUUGAAGUGCAGUGUUGCACUGUUGCUUCAUAGGACUGAUCUCUUGUUCAUCCAAAUAUACUUUUACAAUGGUGGCUUUGGAACAGUCUAGAACAAAGAAUUAUUAUAUAGUCUUUCACAAAACUAUACAGAAAUAUAUCUAUAUCAGAUAAAGAAAGUUAAUUGUCUUUGUGUAAAAGUAGAUGAUGCAAUACUUGGCAUGAGGCACGAUGGCAAGACAACACUAGCACCUAAAUCCCAUUUUACCAGAUCUGAAAGGUCCUUAGUAAGAAUGGGACCUGUUGAUGGCCACAAACGCUGUUCCAGAGCAACAUUUCUUCAUGUGCAAAUGUUCACCAAGAACAGAACAGCUUAUUUCUCCCAUUCCAACUAAAAAAAAGUGUAUCUCCACAAAAUACCAAACGUACAAGAUAAAAAUUGUUGUUAACACACACACACACACACAAGCACUACAGUGUGUUGAUGCGGUCCAGUAAAAGGGGUCUGGCUGGUAAAAUACCCCUUCAUUGUUCAGUUGUAGCUUGCAGUAUAACCUUCAGAAUGGACAUAAAGGACUCACUGCUAUGUGCUUUGGACAGGACAUCCCUACUAGGUUUCAUACCCUUCCAGGGCAGUUGCUAUUUAGUCCUAAGCAUCAUUAUGUGAUGUUUUAAAUACAAAGGUUAUAUAAAUUUUGAGAGAAGCCACAAACAGCAUUUUCAUUUUAAACUAUAACAAAACAGAUUUAAAAAAUACAACCAUUCUGUUUCUUCCAAUGAGUUCUUUUUUUAAAAAAACUGUAAAAAUAUUUUGCACAACCAUCUACAUCCAUCCAUUUGUGAUAAAAAGUCAAAUACAUACAUGAAAUAGGGUUUUAUUUCUAAAUAGGUAUACUUGCAAGGCAAUUAGUCCUCCUUGGCUGGCCUUUUUACCUCCAGAUGCUCUGCUUUGUUGAUAUGACUGCAAGACAUAUAAAAAUAAACGAAGUGACCCUAUUAUGAUGGCUUAGUAUUUGAUAAACCAGAAGAUGACAACAGAGAGAAAGGCAGUGGCAGGGGUAGGGAGAGGAUAUGCUGUUCCAUGCUGUUGCAGAUUUAAACAAAAAUUGUAACAGAGUGUUCAUGACAGCGUAAUCUAAUUGGAAUGAUUACACAGAAAAUUUCAGAAGUACUCUCAUAAAUUUUAACUAUGUGACAGAAGAAUG